UACGGAGGGUGCAAGCGUUAAUCGGAAUUACUGGGCGUAAAGCGUGCGUAGGCGGUUUGUUAAGUCCGUUGUGAAAGCCCUGGGCUCAACCUGGGAAUUGCAGUGGAUACUGGCGAGCUAGAGUGCGGUAGAGGAUGGUGGAAUUCCCGGUGUAGCGGUGAAAUGCGUAGAGAUCGGGAGGAACACCCGUGGCGAAGGCGGCCAUCUGGACCAGCACUGACGCUGAGGCACGAAAGCGUGGGGAGCAAACAGG
rnacentral:rRNA from 1 species